GGCUCCACGGUGACUCCCACAAAAACGUUCCUGAGAAAGCUGAACCAAACGAGCGAGAGGUCGGCAGUGUCGUCCUCACCGUGACCGAGGUCC